rnacentral:rRNA from 1 species
AUUGCACGCUGGCGGCAUGCCUUACACAUGCAAGUCGAACGGUAACGCGGGGCAACCUGGCGACGAGUGGCGAACGGGUGAGUAAUGCAUCGGAACGUGCCUAGUAGUGGGGGAUAGCCCGGCGAAGGUCGGGUUAAUACCGCAUACGACCUACGGGUGAAAGCGGGGGACCGUAAGGCCUUGCGCUAUUGGAUCAGCCGAUGUCGGAUUAGGUUGUUGGUGGGGUAAAGGCCUACCAAGCCGACGAUCUGUAGCUGGUCUGAGAGGACGACCAGCCACACUGGGACUGAGACACGGCCCAGACUCCUACGGGAGGCAGCAGUGGGGAAUUUUGGACAAUGGGGGCAAGCCUGAUCCAGCCAUGCCGCGUGGGGGAAGAAGGCCUUCGGGUUGUAAACCGCUUUUGUCAGGGAAGAAACGCGCUGAGCUAAUAUCUCGUCGUAAUGACGGUACCUGAAGAAUAAGCACCGGCUAACUACGUGCCAGCCGCCGCGGUAACAC